GACGAACGCUGGCGGCGUGCUUAACACAUGCAAGUCGAACGGUGAAGGGGUCUGCUUUUGUGGGCCCUGGAUGAGUGGCGAACGGGUGAGUAACACGUGAGUAACCUGCCCCCUUCUUCUGGAUAACCGCAUGAAAGUGUGGCUAAUACGGGAUAUUCUGGGUCUGUCGCAUGAUGGGUCUGGGAAAGAUUGCGCCUUUGGGUGUUUUUGGUGGGGGAUGGGCUCGCGGCCUAUCAGCUUGUUGGUGGGGUGAUGGCCUACCAAGGCGGUGACGGGUAGCCGGCCUGAGAGGGUGGACGGUCACACUGGGACUGAGACACGGCCCAGACUCCUACGGGAGGCAGCAGUGGGGAAUAUUGCACAAUGGGCGCAAGCCUGAUGCAGCGACGCCGCGUGAGGGAUGGAGGCCUUCGGGUUGUAAACCUCUUUCGCCAGUGAAGCAGGCCUGCUCCUUGUGGGUGGGUUGAUGGUAGCUGGAUAAGAAGCGCCGGCUAACUACGUG
rnacentral:rRNA from 1 species